CCGCGUCCCCGCAGCCCCCGCGCGGCGCCCCAGUAGCAGCAGGACGCGGUCUCUGGACGAGCCGGUAAUAUGCACUUGUCACUAGCUGAGGCCCUGGAGGUUCGGGGUGGACCACUGGAGGAGGAAGAAAUAUGGGCUGUACUAAAUCAAAGUGCUGAAAGUCUCCAAGAAUUAUUCAGAAAAGUAAGCAAAGCUGAUCCUGCUGCCCUGGGCUUCAUCAUUUCUCCAUGGUCUCUGCUGUUGCUGCCAUCUGGUAGUGUGUCAUUUACAGAUGAAAAUAUUUCCAAUCAGGAUCUCCGAGCAUUCACUGCACCAGAGGUUCUUCAAAAUCAGUCACUAACUUCUCUCUCAGAUGUGGAAAACAUCCAUAUUUAUUCUCUUGGAAUGACAUUGUGUUGGGGGGCUGAUCAUGAAGUACCUCAGAGCCAACCUAUCAAGCUGGGAGAUCAUCUCAACAGCAUACUGCUGGGAAUGUGUGAGGAUGUUAUUUACGCUCGGGUUUCUGUGCGGACUGACCUGGAUGCUUGCAGCGCCCACAUUAGGAAUAGCCAUUGUGCACCUUCAUUCUCCUACGUGAAACACUUGGUAAAACUGGUUCUGGGAAAUCUUCCUGGGAUGGAUCAACUUCCCGGUAACAGUGAACAAAGGCCUGAUCGAAGCCAGGCUAUUCAAGACCGAUUGAGAGGAAAAGGAUUACCAACAGGAAGAAGCUCUACUUCUGAUGUACUAGACAUACACAAGUCUCCAUUCUCUCAUCAGACCUUUCUUAACAAAGGGCUUAGUAAAUCUAUGGGAUUUCUGUCUAUCAGAGAUACACAAGAUGAGGAAGAUCGUUUCAAGGACAUUUUAUCAGAUAAUUCUGGGCAUGAAGAUUCUGAAAAUACGUGCUCCCCUUACCAGUUCAAAACUAGUGGCCCAGAAAAACAAGUUAUCCCUGGCAUUGAUGUGCUUCCUAAGAAGAAAAUUUGGGCUUCAUCCAUGGACUUGCUUUGUACAGCUGACAGAGACUUCUCUUCUGGAGAGACUGGCACCUCCCGCCACUGUCACCCAGUUACAGUGCGGACUUCAACUACUCCUAGAAAAAAGGAGGCAAGAUACUCAGAUGGAAGUAUAGCCUUGGAUAUCUUUGGCCCUCAGAAAAUGGAUCCAGUAUAUCACACUCGAGAAUUGCCCACCUCCACAGCAAUAUCAAGUGAGACAAAAGAAACUUCAGGUUCUGAGAGAAGCCAUGAAUGUAGAAGAACCAAUUCGAAGAUACAAGACUUACCACAGUGACAUCUUUAGUACCUCCAGUGAAAGUCCAUCUAUUAUUUCCUCUGAAUCAGAUUUCAGACAAGUUAGAAGAAGUGAAGCCUCAAAGAGGUUUGAAUCCAGCAGUGGUCUCCCAGGGGUAGAUGAAACCCCAAGUCAAGGCCAGUCGCAGAGACCAAGCAGACAAUAUGAAAUACCCCUUGAAGGCAACUUAAUUAAUCAAGAGAUCAUGCUAAAAUGGCAAGAAGAAGAAAUGAUGCAGCUGCAAGCCAGAAUGGCCCUUAGGCAGUCUCGGCUAAGCCUGUAUCCAGGAGACACAAUCAAAGCUUCCAUGCUUGACAUCACCAGGGAUCCCUUAAGAGAAAUUGCCCUAGAAACAGCCAUGACCCAAAGAAAACUGAGAAAUUUCUUUGGCCCUGAGUUUGUGAAAAUGACGAUUGAACCAUUUAUAUCUUUGGAUUUGCCACGGUCUAUCCUUCCAAGAAAGGGAAGAAUGAGGAUAACCGAAGGAAAGUAAACAUAAUGCUUCUGAGUGGGCAGAGACUGGAACUGACCUGCGAUACCAAAACUAUAUGUAAAGAUGUGUUCGAUAUGGUCGUGGCCCACAUCGGCUUAGUGGAGCAUCAUUUGUUUGCUUUAGCUACCCUCAAAGAUAAUGAAUAUUUCUUUGUUGAUCCCGAUUUAAAAUUAACCAAAUGGCCCCAGAGGGAUGGAAAGAAGAACCAAAGAAAAAGAGCAAAGCCACUGUUAAUUUUACUUUGUUUUUCCAAAUUAAAUUUUUCAUGGAUGAUAUUAGUCUAAUACAGCAUACUAUGACCUGUCAUCAGUAUUACCUUCAGCUGCGAAAAGAUAUUUUGGACGAGAGGAUGCACUGUGAUGAUGAGACUUCCUUAUGGUGCUGGCCAUCCUUGGCUCUCCAGGCUGAGUAUGGAGAUUAUCAACCAGAGAGGUUCAUGGUAUGUCUUAUUUUAGACUGGAACAUUAUUUGCCUGCCAGAGUAAUGGAGAAACUUGAUUUGAUCCUAUAUUAAAGAAGAGCUUACCCAAAUUGACACAAUACUCUAUGUGGGAGCUUGCUGAAAAAGAGAACAGAGUUAGAAUUUUAAAGGUUGCCCAAAGCACUGGACAAGAAUAUGUGGUUCACUUUUCACCGGAGUGCACCGCGGAGAAAGAAGCCUCGAACGGAAUAUUGCUGGGAGUCUGUCCAAAGGUGUCCUUGGUGUGUUGAAGUUCACAAUGGGAGUUCACACAUUGCCCGUCCUUCGCCCUUUCCCAUGGAGGGAAACCAAGAAGAUUUCUUUUCUAAAAGAAAAUCACAUUGCAAAAUCACAUCAGACUGGGAAUAACACAGUGCCACUCCGACAGAGAAACACAGGCUAAGGCUAUGCCAGUAUGCCUGCCACCUCUGCUCUUCCCAGCACAAUGCUUCCAGCUACAGAUGCGAACCAAGACAAAGCAACCAAGAGUGGCCAACGAUAGGUUGAGGGUGGAGAGGAUUCGCUUUUAGGGGAGCCUGUACCUGAAUCCCAAGCCAGAGUCCGUUCGGGAUUUAAUUAUGGGACGAGCAGUCAGCACUGGCAGUUCUGGCCGGCAGCACCCUGAACAAAACUUGCGUUCGGCCUUUUCAGUCCAAGGCUGAGGAUUCUGAAGAAGCGCUUAUCCUGCUCUGAGAGCGUGUCGCUUUACCAGCCCUGCAAAACAAUUCAACAAGAGAAGAGUGACAAAGCUUAUGGGAGGAAUAAGCCCAAAGGGAUGGUAAAUCAUACCAUGAUCUCGAGUCAGGCGCUCUCUCUAUCCUCAUCGGAAAAACUUGCCAUUGUUAACAUGGAAGUCCCACGCACAAAAGCAUUGCGGAGCUGGUGGGAAAACCUUUUCACCAGAUGGGAAGAUCUGAUACAGAAUCUUUGGCAGGAUUCACAAAACUUAAUAAUUCAAAGUCUGUUGCAAGUUUAAAUAGAAGUCCUGAAAGGAGGAAACAUGAAUCAGACUCCUCAUCCAUUGAAGACCCUGGUCAAGCAUGUGUUCUAGGAAUGACUAUACAUAGUUCUGGAAAUGCUUCCUCCCAAGUAUCCUUAAAAGAAAAUGAUGUACUACACAAAAGAUGGAGCGUAGUAUCUUCACCAGAAAGGGAGAUCACAUUGGUGAACCUGAAAAAAGAUGCAAAGUAUGGCUUAGGAUUUCAAAUUAUUGGUGGGGAGAAGAUGGGAAGACUGGAUUUAGGGGUAUUUAUCAGUUCAAUCACCCCUGGAGGACCAGCUGACUUGGAUGGAUGCUUAAAGCCAGGAGACCGUUUAAUAUCUGUGAAUAGUGUGAGUCUGGAGGGAGUCAGCCACCAUACUGCAAUUGAAAUAUUGCAAAAUGCACCUGAAGAUGUGACGCUUGUUAUCUCUCAGCCAAAAGAAAAGAUAUCCAAAGUGCCUUCUACUCCUGUACAUCUUGCCAAUGGGAUGAAAAACUACCUGAAGAAACCUUCCUACAUGCAAGAUGGUGCUAUAGAUUCUUCUGAGGAUCACCACUGGCCACCUAGUACUCUGAGGCACAUCUCAGAGAGCUCCUUUGGACUGUCGGGGGGCCUGCGGGAAGGAAGCCUGAGUUCUCAAGAUUCCAGGACUGAGAGUGCCAGCUUGUCCCAGAGCCAGGUCAAUGGUUUCUUUGCCAGCCAUUUAGGUGACCAAACCUGGCAGGAAUCACAGCAUGUCAGCUCUUCCCCAUCUGUAAUACCCAAAGGCAUUGAGAAAAAGAGGAUUUCCACUGACAGUAACCAAAGCAAAGCUAAAAACCAGGCAUUUCAGAUGCAACAGAUUGCUCUGACCGUGGAGAGUCAGACAUGGAUGAAGCCACUUAUUCCAGCAGCCAGGAUCAUCAAACACCAAAAAAGGAACCUUCCUCCUCAAUGAAUACAUGCAACAAAAUGAAUUUUAAAACUUUUUCUUCAUCACCUCCUAAACCUGGAGAUAUCAUUGAGGUUGAACUGACUAAAAAUGAUAACAGCUUGGGGAUAAGUGUCACAGGAGGUGUGAAUACCAGUGUCAGACAUGGUGGCAUUUAUGUGAAAGCUGUUAUUCCCAAGGGAGCAGCAGAGUCUGAUGGUAGAAUUCACAAAGGUGAUCGUGUUCUCGCUGUCAAUGGAGUUAGUCUGGAAGGAGCUACCCAUAAGCAAGCUGUGGAAAGAAACACUGAGAAAUACAGGACAGGUGGUUCAUCUGUUGUUAGAAAAGGGACAGUGUCCAGCAUCCAAAGAACAUAUCCGUUUAACACCACAGUGUACCCUUUCAGAUCAGAAUGCCCAAGAUCAAGCCCCAGAAAAAAUGGUGAAGAAAACAACUCAUGUUAAAGACUACAGCUUUGUCACUGAAGAAAAUACAUUUGAGGUAAAAUUGUUUAAAAAUAGCUCAGGCCUAGGAUUCAGUUUUUCUCGAGAAGAUGAUCUUAUACCUGAACAAAUGAAUGUCAGCAUAGUAAGGGUUAAAAAGCUCUUUCCUGGACAGCCAGCAGCAGAAAGUGGAAAAAUUGAUGUGGGAGAUGUUAUCUUAAAAGUGAAUGGAGCCUCUUUGAAAGGACUGUCUCAGCAGGAAGUUAUAUCUGCUCUCAGGGGAACUGCUCCAGAAGUAUUCUUGCUUCUCUGUAGACCUCCACCUGGUGUGCUACCGGAAAUUGAUACUGCUCUUUUGACCCCACUUCACUCUCCAGCACAAGUACUUCCAAACAACAGUAAAGUUUCUUCUCAACCCUCAUGUGUGGAGCAAGGCACUAGCUCAGAUGAAAAUGAAAUGCCUGACAAAAGCAAGAAACGUUGCAAGUCCCCAUCCAGAAGAGACAGUUAUAGUGACAGCAGUGGGAGUGGAGAAGAUGACUUAGUGAAAGCUCCAGCAAAGAUAUCAAAUGUGACCUGGAGUUCAGCUUUGCAUCAGACUCUAAACAACAUGGUAUCACAGGCACAGAGUCAACAAGAAGCACCCAAGAGUCAAGAAGAUACUAUUUGUACCAUGUUUUACUAUCCUCAGAAAAUUUCUCCAUAUAAACCUCUAGAAUUUGAAAACAGUAAUCCUCCCUUCCCCUCCUACCACUGGACUGUGCCUUCCUGGCCCAGAGUUAUCCAACCCCAGUCAGAAUCUGCUUCUUCUCAUUUGAUGGAUAAAUAUCAUACAAUCACACAUGCUGAUACCAAGUAGACAAGAAAAUUGACCAUCUCUUGAAAAAGACUUGGAAAACCACCUUGGAAGAUUUUUGAGCUGGAAGUAAAACCCCCGCCCCUCAUUACCUAAUUAAAUCAGAAAAAGGAAAGCCUAGGCUUUUACAAGUCCACCAAAGGCCAACCAGAGUAUUGGUUGUUUAUGUUCAUGGUGUCAUUCACAUGAGAUCCAGCCAAAAAGUGGACCGAAGGCUAAAAACCUGGGGACCCAGCGUCAUAAAGGUUAAAUGAUACAGACGUUACGAAUAUGACUCACAACAGAAUGCAGUGAAGUCUGCUCCGAGCACAACCCAAGGACAGUCCCAGCAUCUAGUCCUUGGGCGAGUUGGCUAGAAUUACCCUAGGUAAUGCCAGUGUUGCCUCAGUUUGCUACCGACAUUACACUACCAUGCAACACCACAAGUAGUUUGGGUUUUUCCUUCGGGAGGUCAUGACAGCCUUCCAUCAAGUGGUAUAUAAUUUAUGAUUAUAUCCAAAGUCAAUUGCAGCUACUGAGGGUAAUCCCCAGCUAUUAAGAUGUCCAUAUCAUAGUAUGAUUAUGAAAUGGAGUCAGAAACACACAGGAAGCACGUGAGAAUGAGACAAGCAUUUAACAGUAGCAUUUAGAUCUACACCUACUUCCUUCACGCAAUGCAACAACGAGAUCACAGCGAGGAGUUUUGUACCAUUUCAAACUCUCCCCAAGUCAACCAAAGCCGAUGUCCAUCACAGUGUAGACCCUUGUGGCCAGUCCACUGCCCUUGCUACAACUCCUAAUACUUCAUCUCCAAGGGUGAUAGGGAAGAAAUCAUUGAAGUUUUGUACCCUGAAGGAAAAUGUUCUACUUAUCAAAUGAAGGGAUCAGAAAACCUGACUCUGUCCAAAGAAUCUGAUAUUCAAGAAGAUGACAUUUAUGAUGACCCUCAAGAAGCUGAAGUCAUCCAGUCUCUGCUAGAUGUUGUGGAUGAGGAAGCCCAGAAUCUUUUAAACCAAAAUAAUGCAGCAGGAGAUGCCUGUGUUUCAGGUAUGCUGAAGACAAAUGGGAAGUUACCAGAGGAGAGAGCAGAAGAUACAGACUGUGAUGGUUCACCUUUACCUGAGGAUUUUUCUCAGUCUACCAAAAUAAAUGGCUGUGAAGAACAUUGUGAAGAAAACAUAAAAAGUGAAAGCUUAAUUCAGAAGACACAAGAAAGGAAGACUGAUGAUGAUGAAAUAACAUGGGGAAGUGAUGAAUUGCCAAUAGAGAAAACAAACCAUGAAGAUAAAGGCAAGAAUUCUGAUAAAGAUCACCCCUUUCUGACAAACGAGGAGCUUGCUGCACCCCCUGUUGUCAAAGUGCUCUCCUCUGGUAAAUACACUGGUGCCAAGUUAAAAUCAGUCAUUUGAAUGUUGCGAGGUUUACUAGAACAAGGAAUUCCUUCUAAGGAGCUGGAGAAUCUUCAAGAAUUAAAACCUUUGGAUCAGUGUCUAAUUGGACAAACUAAGGAAAAUAGAAAGAAGAACAGAUAUAAAAAUAUACUUCCAUAUGAUGCUACCAGAGUGCCUCUUGGAGAUGAAGGUGGGUACAUCAACGCCAGCUUCAUUAAGAUACCAGUGGGGAAAGAAGAGUUCGUUUACAUUGCCUGCCAAGGACCUCUCCCUACAACCAUCGGAGAUUUCUGGCAGAUGAUUUGGGAACAAAAAUCUACAGUGAUAGCCAUGAUGACCCAAGAAGUAGAAGGAGAAAAAAUCAAAUGCCAGCGUUACUGGCCUAACAUCCUAGGCAAAACGACAAUGGUCAACGACAGGCUUCGGCUGGCUCUUGUGCGAAUGCAGCAGCUGAAAGGCUUUGUGGUGAGGGCCAUGACCCUGGAAGACAUUCAGACAGGAGAAGUGCGACAUAUUUCUCAUCUGAAUUUCACUGCCUGGCCAGACCACCAUACCCCUUCUCGGCCAGACGAUCUGCUCACCUUCAUCUCCUACAUGAGACACAUCCACAGAUCAGGCCCCAUAAUCACACACUGCAGCGCUGGCAUUGGGCGUUCGGGGACCCUGAUAUGCAUCGACAUAGUUCUAGGAUUAAUCACGCAAGAUCUGGAUUUUGACAUCUCUGACUUAGUGCGCUGCAUGAGACUACAAAGACACGGAAUGGUUCAGACAGAGGAUCAAUAUAUUUUCUGCUAUCAAGUCAUUCUUUAUGUCCUGACACGUCUUCAAGCUGAAGAAGAGCAAAAAGAGCAUCCGCAGCUUCUGGAAUGACAUGAAAAGCCUGCUGGAUGCAUUUCCAUUUCUCUCCUUAACCUCCAGCAGACUCCUGCUCUCUGUUUAAAAUAAUGAUCACAGAGCAGCAAGUCCAUACAAUAUCAUUAUGCUUAUUCUCUUCUAUCUUAGAGGAGUAUUCUUCAUCACAAUAUUAUAAAUAAAGUUAAAAUGCUGUAUUUUUACAGCUACUUUAACCUAUGAUAAUUAUUAAAAAUUUUU